GACGAACGCUGGCGGCGUGCUUAACACAUGCAAGUCGAGCGGUAAGGCCCUUUCGGGGGUACACGAGCGGCGAACGGGUGAGUAACACGUGGGUGACCUGCCCUCAGCUCUGGGAUAAGCCUGGGAAACCGGGUCUAAUACUGGAUAUGACUCCAUGACGCAUGUUGUGGGGUGGAAAGCCUUGUGCGGCUGAGGAUGGGCCCGCGGCCUAUCAGCUUGUUGGUGGGGUGANGGCCUACCAAGGCGACGACGGGUAGCCGGCCUGAGAGGGCGACCGGCCACACUGGGACUGAGACACGGCCCAGACUCCUACGGGAGGCAGCAGUGGGAAUCUUGCGCAAUGGGCGAAAGCCUGACGCAGCG
rnacentral:rRNA from 1 species